CAGCCGCGGGAAAACAGAGGGUGCGAGCGUUAAUCGGAUUUACUGGGCGUAAAGCGUGCGUAGGCGGCUUUUUAAGUCGGAUGUGAAAUCCCUGAGCUUAACUUAGGAAUUGCAUUCGAUACUGGGAAGCUAGAGUAUGGGAGAGGAUGGUAGAAUUCCAGGUGUAGCGGUGAAAUGCGUAGAGAUCUGGAGGAAUACCGAUGGCGAAGGCAGCCAUCUGGCCUAAUACUGACGCUGAGGUACGAAAGCAUGGGGAGCAAACAGGAUUAGAUACCCCUGUAGUCCCUGUCUCUUAUACACA
rnacentral:rRNA from 1 species